rnacentral:misc_RNA from 1 species
AAAAAAGAAUCGUCGAGCCAAAAAGAAGGGCAAGGGAAAUGAUGAAGCUAUGAAUGAACCAGAUUCUCAAAAUGACAAAAACAAUGGAGACGAUUCAUCGUAUCAGCAGGAUUCCCCAUCCAAUUCGUUGCAUAAGGAUGAAAGUAGUGAUAAGGGGACCAGUGAGUUGGCUAAAGAACAAAGGACUUCAAGUAAAUCAGCUGAUCGGAAAACAGUGGUGCAGAAUGAUACAAAGAUCAACCCUAGACACUCAUCUAAAGGAAAGAAAUCCAAGGCAACAUCUAAGGAUUCUGGCAAUUCAUGUGAAACAUGUGGAGAGCAAUUUGACUCGAGGAAUAAAUUGCAUAAGCAUUUGGGAGCCACAG